GGUUCCGUAGCGUAAGGGUUAACGCGCCGCGAACACCUGAGACCAAGGAUACUGCGGAGACUCCAGGUUUGAGUCCUGGCGGGGCCG